UACGAAGGGGGCUAGCGUUGCUCGGAAUCACUGGGCGUAAAGGGUGCGUAGGCGGGUUUUUAAGUCAGAGGGGAAAUCCUGGAGCUCAACUCCAGAACUGCCUUUGAUACUGAGAAUCUUGAGUACGGGAGAGGUGAGUGGAACUGCGAGUGUAGAGGUGAAAUUCGUAGAUAUUCGCAAGAACACCAGUGGCGAAGGCGGCUCACUGGCCCGUUACUGACGCUGAGGCACGAAAGCGUGGGGAGCAAACAGG
rnacentral:rRNA from 1 species